rnacentral:rRNA from 1 species
GGGGAAUAUUGGACAAUGGGCGCAAGCCUGAUCCAGCCAUGCCGCGUGAGUGAAGAAGGCCUUAGGGUUGUAAAGCUCUUUCACCGGUGAAGAUAAUGACGGUAACCGGAUAAGAAGCCCCGGCUAACUUCGUGCCAGCAGCCGCGGUAAUACGAAGGGGGCUAGCGUUGUUCGGAAUUACUGGGCGUAAAGCGCAUGUAGGCGGGCUAUUAAGUUAGGGGUGAAAUCCCGGGGCUCAACCCCGGAACAGCCUUUAAAACUGGUAGUCUUGAGUAUGGAAGAGGUGAGUGGAAUUCCGAGUGUAGAGGUGAAAUUCGUAGAUAUUCGGAGGAACACCAGUGGCGAAGGCGGCUCACUGGUCCAUUACUGACGCUGAGCUGCGAAAGCGUGGGGAGCAAAC